AACGAACGCUGGCGGCGUGCCUAACACAUGCAAGUCGAACGGGAAAACCCGCAAGGGUGAGUACAGUGGCGCACGGGUGCGUAACACGUGGGUAAUCUGCCCAGAAGCCCGGAAUAACUCCCCGAAAGGGGUGCUAAUGCCGGAUGAGACCACGGGGACUUCGGUUCCCGGGGGAAAAGGUGGCCUCUGUAUACAAGCUAUCACUUCUGGAUGAGCCCGCGGCCCAUCAGCUAGUUGGCGGGGUAAUGGCCCACCAAGGCUACGACGGGUAGCUGGUCUGAGAGGACGUUCAGCCACACUGGAACUGAGACACGGUCCAGACUCCUACGGGAGGCAGCAGUGGGGAAUCUUGCGCAAUGGGCGAAAGCCUGACGCAGCAACGCCGCGUGUGUGAUGAAGGUCUUCGGAUCGUAAAGCACUGUCGGGAGGGACGAAUAAGGGCCGGGUGAACAAUCCGGUUCGACGACGGUACCUCCAGAGGAAGCACCGGCUAACUCUGUGCCAGCAGCCGCCGUAAGAC
rnacentral:rRNA from 1 species